AAUCAACGCUGGCGGCGUGCCUAACACAUGCAAGUCGAACGCGAAAGCCCCGCAAGGGCGAAGUAGAGUGGCAAACGGGUGAGUAACACGUGGGUGACCUGCCUUCGAGCGGGGGAGUAACGUCCCGAACGGGACGGCUAAUACCGCAUGACAUCCGGUUUUUGUAAGAAGCCGAGAUCAAAGACUGCGGAUCGCAAGACGUAGCACUCGAAGAGGGGCCCGCGCCUGAUUAGCUAGUUGGUGGGGUAACGGCUCACCAAGGCGACGAUCAGUAGCCGGCCUGAGAGGGCGGACGGCCACACUGGGAC
rnacentral:rRNA from 1 species